rnacentral:lncRNA from 10 species
UUUUUUUAAGGCGGGGCGGGGCUGGGGGCGCGGCGUCGCGGAGCUCGGGCCGGUGGAAGGUUUACCUGCUAGGCUCGUCCCACCUGUGUGGAGCUCCCAUCGCCCUCCAGCGUUGCGCAGCCUGAAGGGACAGGACGGACAAGCGGGUAUUUUUUCCCCCUCACGCAAAUGUGUAUUUUGUGUUUUAAUAAUUUUAUCAACUCGGUGAACUCUCGCGAGAGCACUCGCUGCGUGUCUUGCCUCUGUCGUCCUUCCCAGUCUCUAACCGGCCCCUGGGCCACCUCUCACAAUUGAGCCCCCAGCCCUUGAACACACGCACACACGCACACACGCUGAGCUACCGCCAAUGCUUGAGCCCCCAGCCCUUACACACACCCAUACACGUGCACAAACACACACACACGCUGAACCAACUUCAACACUUGAGCCCCCAGCCCCUAGAGAGAGACACACACACACACGCUGAUGCGGGAGCAUUUAGCACAGUUUCCUUGCUGAAAAAGCAGGACCUCGGUUUAGAAAAUGGAAAUUGCCCAGGAGGAAAAGAGAGCUGAGAUAUAUGCAGCCCCAGGUACUUAGGGUGCCUCCUUCUAAUUCAUCUUCACCAUUGUGGUUGUCAAUAUGGCAUGCAGAAUUAUCCCUCUUUCCAGGUUUUCCCCAAGGACCCUGGACAAUGCUGGUUUUUCCUAUGUGCACCACCAAAGGGCCUAUCCAGCUUCUGGAGUCUACCUGGAUUCCUGGGCUCAUGGCCCCUUCCUCCAUCUUCAAACCAGCAAUGAUUGGAACGACCUGGAGCAGCCAGCAGAGUGACAAAUGAGGAAGAGGACAGAAUCUAGCUGAAGAAGCUCUGGAAGAUACCAUUUGAAGUCUUGAGUGCUUGAACUCACAAAGAAAGCACAUGAGUACACACUAGCACUUGAGCUCUUCAUUUUAAACAGAAUAAAGAAUGUACUGCUAUUAUUGUCAUUUUACAGAUAGGGAAAUUCAGACUCACCAGGGCUACUCAGAUACAAAGAAAAUGAGCCAGAAUUUCAAGCAAGCCUGAGCUUAGAAUCUACACUAUUUUUUUUUUUUUUUUUGAGACAUGGUCUUACUUUGUCACCCAGGCUGGAGUUCAGUGGUAUUAGGUUGGCACAAAAGUAAUUGUGGUCUCUGCCACUUAAAACUAGAGCCCGAAACUGCAAUUACUUUUGCACCAACCUAAUGCACUUACCAGAGCUCACUUACGCCUUGACCUCCUGGGCUCAAGUGAUUCUCCCACCUCAGCCUCCCAAGUGGCUGGGAAUGUGGGCAUGCACCACCCUGCCCGGCUAGCUUUUCUUUCUUUUUUUUUUGUGGAGACAGGAUUUUGCCAUGUUGUCCCGGCUGGUCUUUAACUCCUGAGCUCAAACUAUCCUUCUGCCCUGGCCUCCCAAAGUUCUGGGAUUACAGGCAUGAGCCACUGUGCCCGGCCCAGAACCUAUGCUCCUAACUGCCACACCAAUUGACCUCUAUUCAGCCAUUUUUAUUUCUAUAGCACUUGGUAUAAUUUCACUUUGCACACAGUAUCUAUAGAUAAUCAUUCCAGGGCAUGUAAUCGUCAUAAGAUUAUUUAUGUUAUUGCAUGUGUAUUACUGCAUGUAAUCUUCAUGUGUUAUUGCCUCUAACAAGUUAUGUAUUUCCAUGUAGUCUUCAUAACUGUGUAUAGAAGACCAUUUUAGAGAUGGAAAACUGAGACUCAGAAGUGGUAAUUGUCCUACUGGUCAGAGAUUUAGCCAGGGUUUGGAUUGUGGAAUGCAGAGGACCACUUACUUUUCACUAGACCAUAAAUGCUCCUCACCACUGAGGCAUGUCAAAUGCCAGAUAUCUCCAGGAACCUUAGGCUACGUCUCCAUUGUUUUUGCUUUUUCCCCCCUUAGACACAGCUUGGCAAAGAACAAAUGAUCCCAAACACCAAACAGCACACUUGGAAACAUUUAACCCGCAUACUUUCAGACUUUCUGGCAUGGACCAACCUCUUGUCUUACCUUUGUUCCUGGCCAGAAAGAAAUGGCAUGAAAAGAUGGACAGUUUUUAUAACCUCUUUGAGCUCUAAACCAUGUUUCCUGUGCACUUAGGAGAUCUUAAUAGAAACCAAGUACUUCUUUUAGGCAUCUAUACUCUUAAUGCCGUAAGUCAAGUCAAGUACCCAGGUGGUUAAGAUAACUGUACCAACAGAAACAUUUUUAAAAAAUAUCCUAACACAACAUGAAGUGACCAUCGCGAAUUCAAAGAAGCAGGCAUAUUUCUUAAAGGUUGAAAAGAGGUGAGUCUUUCACAAGAUUCUAGCUCAAGGCCAUAUUUGCACAAGUAUAGUCAUUCCUCUAGCAAGGUUUUGUUUAUCUGGCCAUUAAAAAAAAUUAAAACAACUUUUACUUUCGGCUGUUUGAACAAGAACUGUUUUUCCAGCUGUGCAGUCUAAGGAGGAUACAAGAGGCCUGGUUUGGUUAUAUUUUUUCCAGAAUAAGAAAGUUUCCUACACAAUUCUGCUUGGGCUAAACUGCAUACAGAGCAGUUUAUUUAUACUGUUUUAUCGCACACCUGUUUGGAUAUGGGCUAUUUUCUGGUAUUUAAACAUACCGUUUCUUGCCAAUUGCUUUAUCUUCAGAGUCCUAUGGUUUGGCUGCAAAUGUUUGUUAUUAACUCAGAAAGAAACACCAAUUGCUCUAUGAACAUUAUUAGUGAGGACUAAGAUAACUUAAUUGUUACUUACUUCAAACAUGUUAUCACUGAAGAACUUUAUCCCAGAAAUCCAUUCAAAAUAAGGUAGAGGCCAUUUCACUAUACUUAAAGGGAAAAAAGGAGUUAACAAAGCCUUUUUGGAAUACAAUCUUUAAUGAAACACUGUUUUUCUAAAAAAAGCCACCUGCUUAUUUUGA